rnacentral:rRNA from 1 species
ACGCUCGACACCUACGGGAGCAGCAGUGAGGAAUAUUGGUCAAUGGACGCAAGUCUGAACCAGCCAUGCCGCGUGCAGGAUGACGGCUCUAUGAGUUGUAAACUGCUUUUGUACGAGGGUAAACGCAGAUACGUGUAUCUGUCUGAAAGUAUCGUACGAAUAAGGAUCGGCUAACUCCGUGCCAGCACGCCGUACGGUAAUCUGGAGGCCGGGUCGUGGACGAACGGC